UUUCCGUAGGUGAACCUGCGGAAGGAUCAUUAAAAAAUUGGACUCCAUUGGUGAGUUCAUUAAUAAUCCCUACCCUUUGUGGAUUUGUUUGUUUGAAUAAUUUUUUUUCCAAAAAAAAUUAUUGAAUGUCUUUCCCUGUUUUGGUGGAGCUUGUAAAGUGAAACCAGGCAGGGGAAUGGCAAACAAUAAUUAUUUUUGAAAAAAGACCUUUUUUUAAAAUUAAACUUUUUGUAUUCAUUUGUCUAAAAUUAUUUUCAUAAUAUAAAAACAACUUUUGACAAUGGAUCUCUUGGUUCUCGCAACGAUGAAGAACGCAGCAAAAUGCGAUAAGUAGUGUGAAUCGCAGAAUACGUGAAUCAUCGAAUCUUCGAACGCAUAUUGCACUUUUUUAGUUUACUAAAAAAGUAUGUCUGUUUGAGUAUCAGUAAAAUAUUCUCAUAAAAAACAUUGUUUUUUUAUGGUUAUGAGUGUUUUACAACGAUAACAAGUUGUUUCACUUUAAAUUCUUUGUCAUCAAAAAAAUCAUUAAAAGCUAAUUUUAAAGAUUUUUUAAAAUUGGAUAAAAUUUUCCCGUAAAAAGGAAUAACCUAAACAAUUUUAAAAAAUUAAAAUUGGUUUGAUUUUUUUUGAAACCCAAAGGAAAAAAAAAACGAAAUUAACUUGAUCUCAAAUCAGAUAAGAGUACCCGCUGAACUUAAGCAUAUCAAUAAGCGGAGGAAAAGAAACUAACUAGGAUUCCCUCAGUAACGGCGAGUGAAGCGGGAAGAGCUCAAAUUUGAAAUCUUCAAGGUUUUACCUUGACGAAUUGUAGUUUAAAGAAGUGUUUUCUGUUGGAGUUUUGGUAAAAGUUCUUUGGAAAAGGACAUCAUAGAGGGUGAGAAUCCCGUAUUUGACCAUUAUCUCCAGCUUUGUGAUACACUUUCAAAGAGUCGGAUUGUUUGGGAAUGCAGUCCAAAAUGGGUGGUAAAUUUCAUCUAAAGCUAAAUACUGGCGAGAGACCGAUAGCGAACAAGUACCGUGAGGGAAAGGUGAAGAGAACUUUGAAAAGAGAGUUAAACAGUACGUGAAAUUGUCAAAAGGGAAGCGUUUGACACCAGUGUUGUUUUCUCGAAAAUCAAUUAAAAAAGGCCGGAUUUUGUGUUGUAUUGACUUUAUCAGCUUUCUGCACUUUUUUCUUGUCUUUUAUAAUGCACUUUUCGUUUAACAAGUCAACAUCAAUUUCUUUUGUUGUAAAAGGGUCAUUGGAAGGUGGCUUUCUUUUCGGAGAAAGUGUUUAUAGCCUUUGGCCUCUGCAAUCGGAGAGAUUGAGGUCUGCAGCGUAGAUCCUUCGGGGUUAGAUACAUUUGUGCUAAGUUAUAGCCUUUCAUAGACAACUUGUUGACUAUGAUCAGUCAUGUAGCUUACUCGCUUAUGCUAUUU
rnacentral:misc_RNA from 1 species